UAAAGACUCAGGAAUGGAAGAUGUCC
rnacentral:piRNA from 1 species